CAGAGAGAAAUCACAAGUAGAUGGAGAGGCAGGCAGAGAGAGACGGAGGGAAGCAGGCUCCCCGCUGAGCAAGGAGCCCGAUGUGGGACUCGAUCCCAGCACCCUGAGAUCACGACCUGAGCCGAAGGCAGCAGCUUAACCCACUGAGCCACCCAGGCGCCCCCAGGGUUUUGUUUUUAAGUCUCCCUUUUCCCCACCUCCCAGUGCAAAAGUAAAACGGGUUGGAUGUCUCUACCCUUUUGGUUUUGUAGCGUGCAGUUAUGUACUGUUUUCCGCAUAAACAAGAUUUUGAUCUGUUUUGCAACUACUUAUCUCCACUUAGUAUAUCAUGAAAAACCAUCAAGUGGCCUAUCCCAGGGCAGAGUUUCCUUGUGAAAUACGGUCCCUGGUAACAGAGAACAACAAAACCAUAACACAUUCCCCACGAGCCACCAAGCAGCAACUUCACGGGCCUCAACGUUUUAAUCAACUUGCCCCCAACCAUUUCUAAUCCUACACAAAUCACAGCUGCGUUUCUCAGGCAGAAACGCUACCCGCGGACAACCGGCGACAGUCCCUGCUUCCCCCAGAAGGGUCCCGAACCCCGCCACGCCGGCCCGCCCCGCCCCCACCCGCGCGCCGCGCCGCGCCGCUGACGUCACCGGCGCUCACGAGGCCGAGCCGCCGCCCGAGAAGUCACGCGCAGGCGCCCCGCCCCCACCACGCCACCGCCCGGGGUGAUGCGCCCUCUGCAGAGAUUCCUCCGCCGCCGCCGCCUGGAAUUUUCCAGACGCUCAGCCGGCUCUUCUUUCGGACUUGCGCGGGGCGGGGUGACCUGAGGCGACCCCAGCGUUUCGGGUCGGCGCCCCUCGGGAGUGCUUCCCCAGCCCGCGUCCCGCCCCCUGCCCCCCCCCGCCCCGUUUCAUGGAGUGCUGGUUCCUCCCCCGCAUCCCCCAAGGAGGCAAAGGGGGCUUCUCCCCCACGGAAAUCGCAUCCGAAAUGUGACCUUGAAAUCUUUUCACCGUGUCACGAAGCGCAUCCAGGUGGCGGACCCCGGGGAGGCAGAGGAGGGGAGACGGGGACCCGCCCGAGGCUCCUCGGGAAGGGUGGGGGAGGGACUUUUUUCCCCCAGUGGCGGUGGAGGAAUCGUCCCGUUGAGCAGUGUCCCGAGUGACGCGGCACAAGGCUAUAAAAGCAAAAGUUGUGGCCUGUCCGUCAGGAGUUAGCGCCAGGGAGCGUCGCGGGUUUGGGCUUAGUUGGGAGGGUGGAGGUGGUUAGUUCAGGGCCUCAGGGGGAAGAUGCAGGGGAAGGCAGGGUCUGAUGAGACUGGCGGGGGUUGGGGUCCAAGACCAAGCAAAGUUAAAGAGGAAGCUGGAAAGUGGGGGUGCUAUGGUGGGGAGAGUUAUGUCCAUAGUUUGCGCAGUGACCGGGGAGGCUAGCCCCUGUGGCCCGGCUCUCGCUUCUUUCUGGGGAAGGGGAACUUGACAUCUAGGAGGGCACCACCAUGUGUAGUUCCAGUGGGCCCCAAGUUCUCCGGUUUGUAGGGGAGGAGGAAGGCAAAUAGAAGGAAGAGGAGACAGGAUUUCGCCCCCCUUGUUGUAGAGGAAGCGGAACUGGGCGGUUGAUACUUGGGAGAAUGAUCAGGAAGGCCGGCAGUGGGGUGUAGCUGCAGGUGGGCCGGGAGGGCAGACCUUGAACUUGGCGGCACUGCCAGCAGCCCCCUUUUCUUUCCAGAGGGUUGCGACCCCGCCUGGGAAUGAGGCCUGGUCUUGUGGAAACUGAACUAGCUUCGCGGGGCUGACCUCUCUGGCCCAGGGUGGUGGCAGUGUUCCUCUUUGGACUUUUCCUCUAGGUUCGGUGCUAACUUCUGUGAACUCAUUCUGGCCCUUCUCUUCUUAACUUUCUCGAGGUUAUCCAUUCGUUUAAAAUAUGGCUUCUGGUAACGUGGUAAGCUUGGGAAAGUUGCCAAAGGCCCUGAAAAAUUUGGCUGUGUUGGUAACGUGAAGGGGAAAAAGUCCCUCCUUGCUGAGACUCGGGGGUGGGUUGGGGGGGUGUUGCCUGCCUGAGGAGAUGGGGAGAUCAGAUGUGUACCUUGGAGGGGCCUGCGGCAACGGCACCAGCUUAAGGUUCCAGAAUGCCUCAUGGACCAUGGUUUGUUGCUGUAGUGUUCAUCGUGGUGAUCAGAUGGCACCCAGGAGAAAUGAAGCCCUCUGGCCAGUGUGAGUCCUAGCAGUGCAGGAGGGGAGACCCUGAAGGAGAGAGCCCGCCUAAAUUGAUGUCUGCAGAUUGAAUUUCCAGAGGCUUAGGAGGAAGUUUUCUCCAGUGUCCCGUUUCCCGGCCUUGCUCAGGAAGCCCUGUAUUCAGGAGGCCACUUAAGGUUUUCAGAUGAGCUUAUGGAGGGGCUGUCAUUAAAAGUGCAAAGCAGAUCCAUCGGGCCAUACACAGAAAUGAUUUGACCCAGGAGCACCAACUUCAGGCCUCUGAAUGCCAGCAGGCACCUCUCCUCUUCUGCGGUGGAGGUUUUCAGAUGCUGCAUCUUCUAGAUCGAGCCUCCAGUCAUAACUGGUUCUGGGCUACGAACUUUGCUUCGAGAAGAUUCUUAAGCUGUAGGACGAUCUGAGGUGCCACAACGCAGAGGGAUGCCUUGUAGAUGAAUCUUGCAGAUGGGAGCCCAGUGACCCUCUGACCUGUCCACCCGCCUGUGCCUUGGUUGGAGGAAGUAGUGUGAUGGUCUAAGCAGUAUUUUGGGAAAGUGUUCACAUUGGAAAUGCCUUAGGCAAUACUUGAAUGCAGCCUGCUGGCAAAUUUGGGGGAGGGGGGAUAUUGACGCUCCAGUCUUGGGGAUGGGAGUUGGUUGUGGUCAAAUUCUGUUAAAAAUGGGCGUUGCAAUUGCAUUGCAGGCAACUAAGCAAAGGGAAUAGUUGGGGUAUAUCAGUGAUCUUUUGAGCCCUCUGGGUUUGUUUUUUUGUUUAAAGUUUCAGUUACCAAAUGGGAGGACCCUGAGGGGUGGGGUGGAGCACAGCUUGACGUUGGUACUGGGAGGGGUAGAGGGUGAGGACAGGGAGAGGGUUGGGUGAGGGAGGUGUGUGCUGCAGAGGGGUGAGGUGGUGGGAAAUGUGGGUUGAAGGGAAUUUGGGCGAAAAGGUCAAGUAGAGCGCUGGGGAAACUGAACAACGGGGUAAAAAAAUGGGUAAACCCUACUAGGAAAGAUAGACCUUUUGGAAGCACAAACAUUGCAUAGAAACUUAAGUCCUUUUAGAAAUGUAAAUGCAGGGAACGAAGCAAAAUUGUUUUGCUCUGCAAGGUGGGGAAGAGCACAAACAUUGCUUAGAAACUUAAAAGUCCUUUAGAAAUCUAAAUGCAGGAAAAGCAAAAUAGUUUUGCUCUGCUUGCAGGGUGGGAAAGACUGAAAACCUGUAACUGAAUGGGAAUUGCCAGUCCCGAGAGGGGGGUAAGAAAUUCCCAUCAGCCGGUGAGCGCCGCCUUAGCUGCCUCACUAGCUGCUACAGUGGUUUAUGUGAAGGUGAGCAGUCUGUAUCGGAGCUAGAAAUCUUAGGAAAGACUUGAAGUGGCUGCUGAAAUGCACUUAAAUUUUAAAAGAGGUGGUGUGCUUUUAAGGUAUACUCUAAAUGGGUUUAUAAUACUUCUGUUCACUGAGAUUUUGUGAUUGAAAAUUGAACAAAGGGAAAAUGCAAUGACUUUCAAAGGAACUUUUUUAUAAACAAAUCUCCUUUUUGUGGUUUAUUAACAGCAGUAAAAAUGGUUGCUAUUAACCUUAGUUCUUGUAACAAAACGUUUUUGUGGUCCCUGUAACUGUAUUUGGGAGCAAACAACCAUGUACCCUUGAGAAGGUUGGAGUUAAUCGGCUGUAUCUUUAAUUUGAAUUUGCUUUUUAAGUUGACCAGUACUUGAGGGGAAACUAUGAAGUCAAAGUCAAUUUGGGAAAUAAACAAAAAUGGGGCGGGGAGGGACCUGUACUGGAUGUGGUCUGUUUUUAAAAAAUGUAGAGAAAGAGCUGAAAAAACGGCUCAUAAUUGUUUUCUGAGCUGCACCUAUUGAUUUGGUGAGGUAAUAACCUGUGGCUUUUGAUCUGUGCCUCUUCCCCUUGAAUUUCACUUAAAAUUUAAACUGCCCUGUACUAUGCCCCUGGGAUUGCUGGGUUCUUUUUUAAUGUUUAAGAAUCUGUUAGUCCAGUUUUUAAUUGGUGACUUGGGUACAAUGAAAUUGCUGUCCGAGGAAUUGAAGGAGCAUUAGUCAUGCGUGUAUGGGGAAAUACUUUUGGGUGUGUGGGUUCGAGUAUCCUGUGUUAACUCUGUCGUAAGAACUAGUUCUGUUGCAUCAUGUAUGUGAUCACUAAUCGGUUUUCUUCCCCCCCUUCACAGCACGAAUAAAGGUUGGAGUUCUAAACUCAUAAA